rnacentral:rRNA from 1 species
GCUGGCGGCGCGCCUAACACAUGCAAGUCGAACGGACGAUGCCCCUUCGGGGACAAAGUCAGUGGCGGACGGGUGAGUAACGCGUGAGUAACCUGCCCUUAUGAGUGGAAUAACGUCUGGAAACGGACGCUAAUACCGCAUAACGCAUCGAUACGGCAUCGUAUUGCUGCCAAAGAUUUAUCGCAUAAGGAUGGACUCGCGUCCCAUUAGAUAGUUGGCGGGGUAACGGCCCACCAAGUCAGCGAUGGGUAGCCGGACUGAGAGGUUGAACGGUCACAUUGGAACUGAGACACGGGCCCUACUCCUACGGGAGGCAGCAGUGGGGAAUUUUGGACAAUGGGCGAAAGCCUGAUCCAGCAACGAUGCGUGGAGGAUGAAGGUUCUCGGAUUGUAAACUCCUUUUGAGAGGGAAGAAAAAAAUGACGGUACCUCUCGAAUAAGCCACGGCUAACUACGUGCCAGCAGCCGCGGUAAGACG